rnacentral:rRNA from 1 species
GAUGAACGCUGGCGGCGUGCCUAAUACAUGCAAGUCGAGCGAACAGACGAGGAGCUUGCUCCUCUGACGUUAGCGGCGGACGUGUGAGUAACACGUGGAUAACCUACCUAUAAGACUGGGAUAACUUCGGGAAACCGGAGCUAAUACCGGAUAAUAUAUUGAACCGCAUGGUUCAAUAGUGAAAGACGGUUUUGCUGUCACUUAUAGAUGGAUCCGCGCCGCAUUAGCUAGUUGGUAAGGUAACGGCUUACCAAGGCAACGAUGCGUAGCCGACCUGAGAGGGUGAUCGGCCACACUGGAACUGAGACACGGUCCAGACUCCGACGGGAGGCAGCAGUAGGGAAUCUUCCGCAAUGGGCGAAAGCCUGACGGAGCAACGCCGCGUGAGUGAUGAAGGUCUUCGGAUCGUAAAACUCUGUUAUUAGGGAAGAACAAAUGUGUAAGUAACUAUGCACGUCUUGACGGUACCUAAUCAGAAAGCCACGGCUAACUACGUG